rnacentral:rRNA from 1 species
GAUGAACGCUGGCGGCGUGCCUAAUACAUGCAAGUAGAACGCUGAAGGAGGAGCUUGCUCUUCUGGAUGAGUUGCGAACGGGUGAGUAACGCGUAGGUAACCUGCCUGGUAGCGGGGGAUAACUAUUGGAAACGAUAGCUAAUACCGCAUGACAACAGUUAUUGCAUGAUAACUGUUUAAAAGGGGCAACUGCUCCACUACCAGAUGGACCUGCGUUGUAUUAGCUAGUUGGUGAGGUAACGGCUCACCAAGGCGACGAUACAUAGCCGACCUGAGAGGGUGAUCGGCCACACUGGGACUUAGACACGGCCCAGACUCCUACGGGAGGCAGCAGUAGGGAAUCUUCGGCAAUGGACGGAAGUCUGACCGAGCAACGCCGCGGGAGGGAAGAAGGGUUUCGGAUCGUAAAGCUCUGUUGUAAGGGAAGAACGAGUGUGGGAGUGGAAAGUUCACACUGUGACGGUAGCGUACCAGAAAGGGACGGCUAACUACGUG